GACGUAGGGGGCGAGCGUUGUCCGGAUGUAUUGGGCGUAAAGAGCUCGUAGGCGGCUCAGAAAGUCGGGUGUGAAACCUCCAGGCUCAACCUGGAGACGCCACCUGAUACUGCUGUGGCUAGAGUCCGGUAGGGGAACACGGAAUUCCCGGUGUAGCGGUGAAAUGCUUAGAUAUCGGGAGGAACACCAGUGGCGAAGGCGGUGUUCUGGGCCGGAACUGACGCUGAGGAGCGAAAGCGUGGGUAGCAAACAGG
rnacentral:rRNA from 1 species